GGGCUACUGAGUGUAGCUUUGCCUGCUAUCUCUUACCCAUGUCUUUUAAGUACCUUACGUUUCCUCGGCGGGUCCGCCCGCCGAUUGGACAAUUUAAACCAUUUGCAGUUGCAAUCAGCGUCUGAAAAAACUUAAUAGUUACAACUUUCAACAACGGAUCUCUUGGUUCUGGCAUCGAUGAAGAACGCAGCGAAAUGCGAUAAGUAGUGUGAAUUGCAGAAUUCAGUGAAUCAUCGAAUCUUUGAACGCACAUUGCGCCCCUUGGUAUUCCAUGGGGCAUGCCUGUUCGAGCGUCAUUUGUACCUUCAAGCUCUGCUUGGUGUUGGGUGUUUGUCUCGCCUCUGCGUGUAGACUCGCCUCAAAACAAUUGGCAGCCGGCGUAUUGAUUUCGGAGCGCAGUACAUCUCGCGCUUUGCACUCAUAACGACGACGUCCAAAAGUACAUUUUUACACUCUUGACCUCGGAUCAGGUAGGGAUACCCGCUGAACUUAAGCAUAUCAAUAGGUGGGAGGAAGU
rnacentral:rRNA from 1 species